rnacentral:rRNA from 1 species
UACGGGGGGAGCAAGCGUUGUUCGGAUUUACUGGGCGUAAAGGGCGCGUAGGCGGCCACCGCAAGUCAAUUGUGAAAUCUCCGGGCUUAACUCGGAAAGGUCAACUGAUACUGCGGGGCUAGAGUGCGGAAGGGGCAACUGGAAUUCUCGGUGUAGCGGUGAAAUGCGUAGAUAUCGAGAGGAACACCUGCGGCGAAGGCGGGUUGCUGGGCCGACACUGACGCUGAGGCGCGAAAGCCAGGGGAGCAAACGGGG